rnacentral:rRNA from 1 species
UACAGAGGGUGCUAGCGUUAAUCGGAUUUACUGGGCGUAAAGGGUGUGUAGGCGGUUGUUUAAGUUUGGUGUGAAAUCUCCCGGCUCAACUGGGGAGGGUGCGCCGAAUACUGAAUGACUAGAGUGCGGGAGAGGUGAGUGGAAUUCCUGGUGUAGCGGUGAAAUGCGUAGAUAUCAGGAGGAACACCGGUGGUGUAGACGGCUCACUGGACCGUAACUGACGCUGAGACACGAAAGCGUGGGUAGCAAACAGG